rnacentral:rRNA from 1 species
UUGAAGUCGAGAAUGAAAGGAAAGAUUAAAAUAAACUGUCUUAAAAGUUCUUUUUGGAAAUUACUAAUAUGGUGAAAAUUCCAUAAAAAUUUUUAAUAGACGAGAAGACCCUAUGAAUUAUUACUAAAAAUUUUUUAAAAAAUUUAAAUUUUUGUUGGGGCAACAAGAAAAAUUUAAUAAAAAAUUCUAUAAUUUUAAUAUUACAAUUGAAGUUUUUACUAUAAAUGAAUUUAAUU